rnacentral:rRNA from 1 species
CACAAUGCAAGUCGAACGAGAAAAUCCGCCUCGGCGGAUGAGUAAAGUGGCGCACGGGUGAGUAACACGUGGAUAAUCUACCUCUUAGUGGGGGAUAACUCCGCGAAAGCGGGGCUAAUACCUCAUAAUAUUAUUUUCUCCUUGGAGAAGUUAGUCAAAGGUGGCCUCUGUUUCAAGCUAUCGCUAAGAGAUGAGUCCGCGGCCCAUUAGUUUGUUGGUAAGGUAAUGGCUUACCAAGACGACGAUGGGUAGCUGGUCUGAGAGGAUGACCAGCCACACUGGAACUGAGACACGGUCCAGACUCCUACGGGAGGCAGCAGUGAGGAAUCUUGCGCAAUGGGGGAAACCCUGACGCAGCAACGCCGUGUGAGUGAUGAAGGCUUUCGGGUCGUAAAGCUCUGUUAGGUGGAAAGAAAAGUGCUUGACCAAUAAUCAAGUAUCUUGACGGUACCACCGGAGGAAGCACCGGCCAACUCCGUGCCAGCAGCCGCGGUAAUACGGAGGGUGCAAGCGUUGUUCGGAAUUACUGGGCGUAAAGAGCGUGUAGGCGGCUCAUUAAGUCAGAUGUGAAAGCCCUGGGCUCAACCCAGGAAGUGCAUUUGAAACUAAUUAGCUAGAGUACGGGAGAGGAAGGUGGAAUUCCUGGUGUAGAGGUGAAAUUCGUAGAUAUCGGGAAGAAUACCGGUGGCGAAGGCGGCCUUCUGGCCCGAUACUGACGCUGAGACGCGAAAGCGUGGGGAGCAAACAGGAUUAGAUACCCUGGUAGUCCACGCCGUAAACGUUGGGCACUAUGUGUGGGAGGUAUUUAUUCCUUCUGUGCCGGAGCUAACGCAUUAAGUGCCCCGCCUGGGGAGUACGGUCGCAAGGCUAAAACUCAAAGGAAUUGACGGGGGCCCGCACAAGCGGUGGAGCAUGUGGUUUAAUUCGACGCAACGCGAGUAACCUUACCUGGCUUGACAUGUUGGUAGUAGUGACCGAAAGGGACGAUCCCGCUUUAGUGGAGCCAACACAGUGCUGCAUGCUGUCGUCAGCUCGUGUCGUGAGAUGUGGGUAGUCCCGUACGAGCGCACCCUACUUUAGUGCCAUCAUUAGUUGGCACUCU